GCUAAACGCGAAGAACCUUACCCACCUUUGACAUGUACGGAAUCCUUUAGAGAUAGAGGAGUGCUCGAAAGAGAGCCGUAACACAGGUGCUGCAUGGCUGUCGUCAGCUCGUGUCGUGAGAUGUUGGGUUAAGUCCCGCAACGAGCGCAACCCUUGCCAUUAGUUGCUACGAAAGGGCACUCUAAUGGGACUGCCGGUGACAAACCGGAGGAAGGUGGGGAUGACGUCAAGUCCUCAUGGCCCUUAUAGGUGGGGCUAGAAACGUCAUACAAUGGCCGGUACAAAGGGUCGCGAAGCCGCGAGGUGGAGCCAAUCCCAUAAAGCCGGUCGUAGUCCGGAUCGCAGUCUGCAACUCGACUGCGUGAAGUCGGAAUCGCUAGUAAUCGUGGAUCAGCAUGUCACGGUGAAUACGUUCCCGGGUCUUGUACACAC
rnacentral:rRNA from 1 species